rnacentral:misc_RNA from 1 species
GAUGAAGAACGUAGCGAAAUGCGAUACGUAAUGUGAAUUGCAGAAUUCAGUGAAUCAUCGAAUCUUUGAACGCAUAUUGCGCUCUCUGGUAUUCCGGAGAGCAUGCUUGUUUGAGUAUCAGUAAACACCUCAACUCCCUUUUCUUUUUUGAAAUUGGAGCUGGACUUGAGUGAUCCCAACGCUUUCUUCCAAGAAAGUGGCGGGUUGCUUGAAAUGCAGGUGCAGCUGAACUUUUCUCUGAGCUAUAAGCAUAUCUAUUUAGUCUGCCUAAAAAACAGAUUAUUACCUUUGCUGCAGCUAACAUAAAGGAGACUAGUUCUUGUGCUGACUGAUGCAGGAUUCACAGAGACAGCUUCGGCUGACUUUGUAAACUCGACCUCAAAUCAAGUAAGACUACCCGCUGAACUUAAGCAUAUCAAUAAGCGGAGGA